GCCAGCCAAGUAUGGACUGAAACCUCCACAAACUGUAAGGUCUGGCUGGAUGCCCAGCCCCACCCAGAUGGUGGGUCAGAGCAGACGCCCUACAUUUGAGUGUCCCAGGCUCCUCAACUCAACUCAACUCUGCAAACUGGACACUCCCUGGAAGCCUGCUUCUCUUUGAUGUCACCCACAGGCACUUGGUGGCCUGACUUGAAAACAGGCAUUGGCUUUGAAACCCAGGAGACAUCCCCCAGCGCUCUCCAUCCUGAGGCUGCUCCCUCCUCUCACCCUCUGGACGUCUUCUUGCUCAGAUGCCAACAGCUGGCCCCAUCUCCAUGCCUCCACCUACAUCCUCCAAACCACAGCCAGAGUGGCCCAGGUGUGAGUCUGGCUGUGCCCCUUGCUGGCAGCUCCUACCUGCAGUUCAGGAUGGAGGGCCGAGCUCAACAGCCACCUGGUUGCAUCCACUGACAGCCCAACAGGGGUGGCCUCACCGGGGAGGUGCUCAGGGUGAGAACAGAGGCCCGACCCUGAGCCCCGGAGGACAGGAGGGAGACAGUUGUGCAAGAGUGUGGACACCAGGGACCCACACGUCCCCGAGCCCCAAAAGAAAAGGUGUCAGGCAGGUGGCUGGUGACCUUGGUGAGACUCACUUUGUGGGGGAGACAUUAGCAUGGGAAACACAGAACUCUGGGCAGGGGACACACUGACCAUAGCAGAAGGGAGCUGAGGUCCAGGGAAGACUUGAUUUACGGGGCAGACCCAACCUACUCACUGUCUGGACCUUCCUCUGAGUGCCUGGCCCAGCCCAUUUGCCAGCUCCACUCACUCUCCUGGCCCCACCCACUUGUCCAGCUCACCAAGGUCCCGGCCCCACCCACUUACUUGCCCCCACCCACUUAUAUAACUCCAUGCACUCUCCUGGCUCCUCCCACUUGCCUUUGAAGACUCCUGCUGGCAGAUGUGGGAGGAAUGCCUAAGGCAGAUGGUCAAGUUCAGAUGGGAGAGGCCAGCCGAGCUCAAUGUCAUGUGGACUGGCUCAAGGUCAC